ensembl:lncRNA novel transcript
ACGGAAUCAUGAAAAUUAUUCUUUGAAAUGGCAAAGAUUUCUGUGGCUGGAUCAUGGGAUUUAUUGACUGGAGCGAUUUCUCCUCAGAAGACCAGACACAUGCAGCAUAAAUACUUUUUGGAGAAAAACACUAUGAGGAGCAUUGAGAAAGUCCUCAUUUGGAAUACUUAGCUGGACUUACCUAAACUGAACUUUCCCUUCCUUGACCCAGGGCAACCUCUGCCAAGCCCACCACCCUCCAGCUCCUACGCCAUGAAAGAUCGAAGAAGAUAAUCAGAAAAACCACCCAAGAAAAGGAAAAGGGAGAAUCAGUUACAUAUCCAGCAAGCCAGAAAACAAGAAAACCCAAAUCUGUUCCAGUUCUCUAGUUUCACCUUAAAGGCAAAGAACUGUAGAUGCUUGUGAGGAGCUCUUCAAAGCCUAAAUUCAUAGCCUCUCUACGCGGGAGGUUACCAGCAUCUGAAGAAAAACAACCACUACCAGAAAAGCUCUUCUUUGUUUUCAUUCUUCGCAGUCCUUCAGGAAACUCUUGAUAAUGUGAAAUGUUAUUACUGCAAAUGUUGGCUCAAGCACGUUUACUCUAGAGUCUGACUAUCAGUGACUUGUUCGCAAAAUAAAAUCAUUUUUAAAGCCUACAAGGAAAGCCAAGAGCAAACCACAAAUCAGAAAACCACCAAGGCGGGCUGGCCUCAUUGCCAGAAUUUAAUGUGAUCUAAUGCGAGGACAACAAGAUAAAAAUGCAACCUUACCAAUGCCAAACUCCUACUUACACUGUCAUUUUAUAGCAGUUACAAAGUUGGCCCAGUGAAGAAAUGUAAAACGCAUAGAAUCAAGUUUCUUAAAGCAAUAGUUUGCUAAGGGAAGUGUAAUAAAUACAGGGUCUAGGAAAAAAUUACUAGAACUUCUAUUUCUAUUGACUUUUAAGCUAAACACUAAGAAGGAAAGAAAGCCUCACUAAGAGUUAAAAUCUGGAUGACACCAGUUGUCCUCAUUUGGUGCAGAUACAGACAGUCACCUCUCACCCACCACCUGUGGACUGUGAGUCUUCCUGAAAGAAGGUUGAGGGCUCAACAGUGCUGAGGGUAUGAUAGGGGUAGCAUCAGUUCAGGUAGGCUGGGCUGCAGUAACACAUAGACCAAGCAGGUAAUGGCUCAACACAAUAGGAAGUUAGUUCUUGCUUAGGGUGCCAUUCUGGUGAUGAGAUCAGCAGGACAGCUCAAGCCAUGCCAUCACUUAGAUGAGGCUCUGCCAACUUCGGCUUAUGGUUAGCAUAGCCAUCUGCAUCGCUUCCUGCAGGAAGAAGGAAGAACCUUGGAGAAUCACUUCUAGGAGGCUUUUUAUGGGACCAGACUGAAAGUGGUACAUAUUAUCGAAGCUCAUCCUCCAUUGGCCAUGACUUAGUCUCAGAGCCACAACUAACCACAAGGGAAGCCAGGAAAUGUAGCCUGAUUAUGUGCUCAAGAAGAAGAAACAAAUUAUGGCAAACAGUCAGCAGUUUCUACCAUAGGUGUGCUCAUCCAUUCAGUGGAUUGCAAUGUAUUGCAAUCGACAUGUUCCCCUUACACGGAUUUAACCAUUUUAAUAAAAUUUAACCUCAUAAAAUGAA